rnacentral:rRNA from 1 species
UACGUAGGGCGCGAGCGUGUCCGGAAUUAUUGGGCGUAAAGAGCUCGUAGGCGGCCUGUUGCGUCCGCUGUGAAAUCCCGGGGCUCAACCCCGGGCCUGCAGUGGAUACGGGCUGGCUGGAGGCAGGCAGGGGAGAACGGAAUUCCUGGUGUAGCGGUGAAAUGCGCAGAUAUCAGGAGGAACACCAAUGGCGAAGGCAGGUCUCUGGGCUGUAACUGACGCUGAGGAGCGAAAGCAUGGGGAGCGAACAGG